AAAUACACAAAUUGGAUUGUGAUUUUCACAAAUUGAUUUAGUGGCACUUUGCCAAACCAUGCAAAUAAAAUUUGGUCUUCCGCUCUGGCCCAUAAUUAACCUUUUUACAUUUUUCUAGGAGACUUAGAGCAUUUCCAUCAAUAGUCUCUCACAUGGUUUCUCUUCCACUAAAAAAUAUAAAAUAAUAAUAAAGUAGGAGAGAGAAUAAGAAAAGUUUCUCUGCAGAGAAACCAUGAGAUACUCUUCUUACCACAUGUCAUAUUUUAACAGGUUAAAUAAUUAUUUUCAGAAUAAUUA
rnacentral:sRNA from 1 species